AGCGAACGCUGGCGGCAGGCCUAACACAUGCAAGUCGAACGAACCUUUCGGGGUUAGUGGCGGACGGGUGAGUAACACGUGGGAACGUGCCUUUAGGUUCGGAAUAACUCAGGGAAACUUGUGCUAAUACCGAAUGUGCCCUUCGGGGGAAAGAUUAAUCGCCUUUAGAGCGGCCCGCGUCUGAUUAGCUAGUUGGUUGAGGUAAUGGCUCACCAAGGCGACGAUCAGUAGCUGGUCUGAGAGGAUGAUCAGCCACAUUGGGACUGAGACACGGCCCAAACUCCUACGGGAGGCAGCAGUGGGGAAUCUUGCGCAAUGGGCGGAAGGCUGACGCAGCCAUGCCGCGUGAAUGAUGAAGGUCUUAAGAUUGUAAAAUUCUUUCACCGGGGACGAUAAUGACGGUACCCGGAGAAGAAGCCCCGGCUAACUUCGUG
rnacentral:rRNA from 1 species